rnacentral:tRNA from 1 species
CAGGGAGACAACAAAAUGUUUAAUAUUAUUAUUUUGUCACCUUAGGUCGAUCGGUACCUUACAUUCUUAAUUUAUUGAGGAUUUCAUUUCCUAAGUUUUUUCUAGGUCACACCCAUUAUUUUUCCUGGGCCAUUAGCUCAGGUGGUUAGAGCGCACCCCUGAUAAGGGUGAGGUCCCUGGUUCAAGUCCAGGAUGGCCCAUAUCUCUAUGUUGGGGGUAUAGCUCAGUUGGUAGAGCGCCUGCUUUGCAAGCAGGAUGUCAGCGGUUCGAGUCCGCUUACCUCCACUGAUUACCACCUCUUAACAUAAUUUGAUGAAGGAAAUGUUUUGAGUUGUGAUCAAAUUCUGAACGAUUCUAGCUUCCUAAUGAAAUCAUUAAGAUGCUGGACUCAUUGAAUUAAUUUCAUUGUUUUCAGAGAACCUUGACAACUGCAUAGAUUAUUUUUUAAAGACAAUAAGCAUCUUUAAUGAUGCAGAUUUAUUAUUUGUGCGAAUGCAUUAAAUAACAAUUCUAUUAAGCUGAUGCUUCAAUUAUUGAAGUUAUU